ACAGUGGACGCGAGCAUCUGUGGCCAAGUUUUUAAGGGCGCACGGUGGAUGCCUUGGCACCAGGAACCGAUGA
rnacentral:rRNA from 1 species